GCCAGAAGCAUCUAUCCAAAUAAUGCGAACAAAGGUGACAUCCUUUGAUGAUUCAUGUAACUCUUCUGCUUGGAAGAAAGAUAAUAAAGGAGGUUUUACAUCAGAAUAUCUUGAAGAAACAUCAAGCUUGUAGAAUUGCUUUGCGUUUUCUGCAAAGACAUCUUUAACAGCUACAAUAGCUUCUGGAAUUGAAAGAUCACCAUCAACACAUGCAUCACGUAGAACAGAGAAUACU
rnacentral:misc_RNA from 1 species